rnacentral:rRNA from 1 species
UCAGGACGAACGCUGGCGGCGUGCCUAAUACAUGCAAGUCGAACGGUCUUUCUAUGGAAGCUUGCUCCACUGAGAAGAUAGUGGCGAACGGGUGAGUAACACGUGGGUAACCUGCCCAUAAGAGGGGGGAUAACAUCCGGAAACGGGUGCUAAUACCGCAUAGUUUUCUUGAUCGCAUGAUCGGGAAAGGAAAGACGGCCUUUGUGCUGUCGCUUAUGGAUGGACCCGCGGCGUAUUAGUUAGUUGGUGAGGUAACGGCUCACCAAGACGAUGAUACGUAGCCGACCUGAGAGGGUGAUCGGCCACAUUGGGACUGAGACACGGCCCAAACUCCUACGGGAGGCAGCAGUAGGGAAUCUUCCGCAAUGGACGAAAGUCUGACGGAGCAACGCCGCGUGAGUGAAGAAAGGUUUUCGGAUCGUAAAACUCUGUUGUCAGAGAAGAACAAGUUGGAGAGUAACUGCUCCAGCCUUGACGGUAUCUGACCAGAAAGCCACGGCUAACUACGUGCCAGCCGCUGC